rnacentral:rRNA from 1 species
CACGUAGGCACCAAGCGUUGUCCGGAUUUAUUGGGCGUAAAGAGCUCGUAGGCGGUUCGGUUAGUCGGGUGUGAAAACUUUGGGCUCAACCCAAAGCGUGCACUCGAUACUGCCGUGACUAGAGUUCGGUAGGGGAGUGGGGAAUUCCUAGUGUAGCGGUGAAAUGCGCAGAUAUUAAGAGGAACACCGGUGGCGAAGGCGCCACUCUGGGCCGAAACUGACGCUGAGGAGCGAAAGCGUGGGUAGCAAACAGG